rnacentral:rRNA from 1 species
GUCUAUGGCCAUGCCACCCUGAACAAGCCUGAUCCUGAGUCUGAUCUCAGAAGCUAAGCAGGGUCGGGCCUGGUUAUUACUUGGAUGGGAGACCAGGUGCUGUAGGCA